GAGAUACUCCCUCCGUCCAAAAAAGCUUGUCCCUCAAAUGAAUGUAUCUAGCAUCAAGUUAGUGCUAGAUACAUCCAUUUGAUACACAAGCUUUUUCGGACGGAGGAAGUACAAA
rfam:Triticum urartu cultivar G1812 contig63817, whole genome shotgun sequence.